GGGUCGAUGGCGUAGCUGGUUAUCGCAUCUGUCUAACAUGAAAAUUUGGCUAUCAAGUAAUGUUAUACACAGAAGGUCCUCAGUUCGAACCUGGGUCGACUCA